rnacentral:rRNA from 1 species
CGCGCAGGCUGUGCUGCAAGUCAGCUGUGAAAUGUCUGGGCUUAACCCGGGCAUGCGGUUGAGACUGCAGUGCUGGAGUGCUGUAGAGGCAAGUGGAAUUCCCAGUGUAGCGGUGAAAUGCGUAGAUAUUGGGAAGAACACCGGUGGCGAAGGCGACUUGCUGGGCAGCAACUGACGCUGAGGCGCGAAAGCCAGGGGAGCAAACGG